rnacentral:rRNA from 1 species
UACGUAGGGUGCAAGCGUUAUCCGGAAUUAUUGGGCGUAAAGAGCUCGUAGGCGGUUUGUCGCGUCUGCUGUGAAAACCCGAGGCUCAACCUCGGGCCUGCAGUGGGUACGGGCAGACUAGAGUGCGGUAGGGGAGAUUGGAAUUCCUGGUGUAGCGGUGGAAUGCGCAGAUAUCAGGAGGAACACCAAUGGCGAAGGCAGCUCGCUGGAACGGUACUGACGCUGAGGCGCGAAAGCGUGGGGAGCGAACAGG